rnacentral:rRNA from 1 species
GACGAACGCUGGCGGCGUGCCUAAUACAUGCAAGUUGAGCGCUGAAGGUUGGUACUUGUACCCACUGGAUGAGCAGCGAACGGGUGAGUAACGCGUGGGGAAUCUGCCUUUGAGCGGGGGACAACAUUUGGAAACGAAUGCUACUACCGCAUCAAAACUUUAAACACAAGUUUUAAGUUUGAAAGAUGCAAUUGCAUCACUCAAAGAUGAUCCCGCGUUGUAUUAGCUAGUUGGUGAGGUAAAGGCUCACCAAGGCGAUGAUACAUAGCCGACCUGAGAGGGUGAUCGGCCACAAUGGGACUGAGACACGGCCCAAACUCCUACGGGAGGCAGCAGUAGGGAAUCUUCGGCAAUGGACGAAAGUCUGACCGAGCAACGCCGCGUGAGUGAAGAAGGGUUUCGGAUCGUAAAACUCUGUUGGUAGAGAAGAACGUUGGUGAGAGUGGAAAGCUCAUCAAGUGACGGUAACUACCCAGAAAGGGACGGCUAACUACGUG